GACGAACGCUGGUGGCGUGCUUAACACAUGCAAGUCGAGCGAGUGAGUUCUUCGGAACGAUCUAGCGGCGGACGGGUGAGUAACACGUGGGCAACCUGCCUCAUAGAGGGGAAUAGCCUCCCGAAAGGGAGAUUAAUACCGCAUAAAAUUAUCGAGUGGCAUCACAUGAUAAUCAAAGGAGUAAUCCGCUAUGAGAUGGGCCCGCGGCGCAUUAGCUAGUUGGUGAGGUAACGGCUCACCAAGGCGACGAUGCGUAGCCGACCUGAGAGGGUGAUCGGCCACAAUGGGACUGAGACACGGCCCAGACUCCUACGGGAGGCAGCAGUGGGGAAUAUUGCACAAUGGGGGAAACCCUGAUGCAGCAACGCCGCGUGAGUGAUGAAGGUCUUCGGAUUGUAAAGCUCUGUCUUUGGGGACGAUAAUGACGGUACCCAAGGAGGAAGCCACGGCUAACUACGUGCCAGCAGCCGCAGUAA
rnacentral:rRNA from 1 species